rnacentral:rRNA from 1 species
GGAUGAACGCUAGCUACAGGCUUAACACAUGCAAGUCGAGGGGCAGCCUGAUUGAAGCUUGCUUCAAUCGAUGGCGACCGGCGCACGGGUGAGUAACACGUAUCCAACCUGCCGAUAACUCGGGGAUAGCCUUUCGAAAGAAAGAUUAAUACCCGAUAGUAUAGUAUUUCCGCAUGGUUUCACUAUUAAAGAACUUCGGUUAUCGAUGGGGAUGCGUUCCAUUAGAUAGUUGGCGGGGUAACGGCCCACCAAGUCAACGAUGGAUAGGGGUUCUGAGAGGAAGGUCCCCCACAUUGGAACUGAGACACGGUCCAAACUCCUACGGGAGGCAGCAGUGAGGAAUAUUGGUCAAUGGACGAGAGUCUGAACCAGCCAAGUAGCGUGAAGGAGGACUGCCCUAUGGGUUGUAAACUUCUUUUAUACGGGAAUAAAGUGGAGUAUGCAUACUCCUUUGUAUGUACCGUAUGAAUAAGGAUCGGCUAACUCCGUG